UGAGUUUGAUCAUGGCUCAGGAUGAACGCUGGCGGCGUGCCUAACACAUGCAAGUCGAACGGAGUUUAUAUUAAGAAGUCUUCGGACGGAUUGAUAUAAACUUAGUGGCGGACGGGUGAGUAACGCGUGGGUAACCUGCCUCAUACAGGGGGAUAACAGUCGGAAACGGCUGCUAAAACCGCAUAAGCAUACAGUAUCGCAUGGUACAGUGUGAAAAUAUUUAUAGGUAUGAGAUGGGCCCGCGUCUGAUUAGCUAGUUGGUGAGAUAAAAGCUCACCAAGGCGACGAUCAGUAGCCGGCUUGAGAGAGUGACCGGCCACAUUGGGGCUGAGACACGGCCCAAACUCCUACGGGAGGCAGCAGUGGGGAAUAUUGCACAAUGGGGUAAACCCUGAUGCAGCGACGCCGCGUGAGUGAAGAAGUAUUUCGGUAUGUAAAGCUCUAUCAGCAGGGAAGAAAUUGACGGUACCUGACUAAGAAGCCCCGGCUAACUACGUGCCAGCAGCCGCGGUAAUACGUAGGGGGCAAGCGUUAUCCGGAUUUACUGGGUGUAAAGGG
rnacentral:rRNA from 1 species